GAUGAACGCUGGCGGCGUGCCUAAUACAUGCAAGUCGAGCGAACAGACGAGGAGCUUGCUCCUCUGAUGUUAGCGGCGGACGGGUGAGUAACACGUGGAUAACCUACCUAUAAGACUGGGAUAACUUCGGGAAACCGGAGCUAAUACCGGAUAACAUGUUGAACCGCAUGGUUCAACAGUGAAAGACGGUCUUGCUGUCACUUAUAGAUGGAUCCGCGCCGCAUUAGCUAGUUGGUAAGGUAACGGCUUACCAAGGCAACGAUGCGUAGCCGACCUGAGAGGGUGAUCGGCCACACUGGAACUGAGACACGGUCCAGACUCCUACGGGAGGCAGCAGUAGGGAAUCUUCCGCAAUGGGCGAAAGCCUGCCGGAGCAACGCCGCGUGAGUGAAGAAGGUCUUCGGAUCGUAAAACUCUGUUAUUAGGGAAGAACAAAUGUGUAAGUAACUAUGCACGUCUUGACGGUACCUAAUCAGAAAGCCACGGCUAACUACGUG
rnacentral:rRNA from 1 species